ensembl:lncRNA
AGGAGCUUUCAGGAAGCAGGAAGAGAAGACGGGAGGAAAAAAAACUACAGGAUAAAGAUCUCUGCACAAAAAGGGCAAGAGUUGCUCCAACAGCAUCCAGCUCUGAAGGAUCAGACAAAACUGAAGACCAGGAACUGGAACCUGGGAACCUGGAAGAUUAUGUUGUCCUGAAGGACACAAUUCAGGCAGCAGCAUGGUGCCAGUUACAGUCCUUCAAGGACAGCGUUUCUCCCCCAGAGGUCAUUGGGAUGGAAGGUUGGGAGCAGAUGGCAGCAUCAACACAGCGCAAAUCCCAUGACGGCGGGGAUGAGGAAGAAACGUGGAAACCAUUCCAAUUCUCAUUCAGAUUAAAUACUAGGGCUGUGUUCAAAAAAUCGAUCCGCGAUCCGAUAUCGAUUCACGCUCAAAAAGCACGAUAUCGAUCCAAAAAUGUCUGGAUCGAUCUUUUCCAGGUGACUAAAGGCACUAUUUUCUUUGACGCGCAAGGCGCACUAUAAAAAGCGAGUGCCGGCUAAACGAAACCGAAACUUAAGCUAGCGAGAUGGCUGAAGCGGCACCACUAAAAUCACCUUCUGGAAUGAAGGCUGAUGUUUGGCAAAACUUCGG